UUAGAGUUUGGAUUCAGGCUCAGAUUGAACGCUGGCGGCAGGCCUAACACAUGCAAGUCGAACGGUAACAGGAAGCAGCUUGCUGCUUCGCUGACGAGUGGCGGACGGGUGAGUAAUGUCUGGGGAUCUGCCUGAUGGAGGGGGAUAACUACUGGAAACGGUAGCUAAUACCGCAUAACGUCGCAAGACCAAAGAGGGGGACCUUCGGGCCUCUUGCCAUCAGAUGAACCCAGAUGGGAUUAGCUAGUAGGUGGGGUAACGGCUCACCUAGGCGACGAUCCCUAGCUGGUCUGAGAGGAUGACCAGCCACACUGGAACUGAGACACGGUCCAGACUCCUACGGGAGGCAGCAGUGGGGAAUAUUGCACAAUGGGCGCAAGCCUGAUGCAGCCAUGCCGCGUGUAUGAAGAAGGCCUUCGGGUUGUAAAGUACUUUCAGCGGGGAGGAAGGCGAUACGGUUAAUAACCGUGUCGAUUGACGUUACCCGCAGAAGAAGCACCGGCUAACUCCGUGCCAGCAGCCGCGGUAAUACGGAGGGUGCAAGCGUUAAUCGGAAUUACUGGGCGUAAAGCGCACGCAGGCGGUCUGUCAAGUCGGAUGUGAAAUCCCCGGGCUCAACCUGGGAACUGCAUCCGAAACUGGCAGGCUUGAGUCUUGUAGAGGGGGGUAGAAUUCCAGGUGUAGCGGUGAAAUGCGUAGAGAUCUGGAGGAAUACCGGUGGCGAAGGCGGCCCCCUGGACAAAGACUGACGCUCAGUCGAAAG
rnacentral:rRNA from 1 species